CAUAGUGAAUUUAUUUCCACAUAUAAAUGAGGCCAGAAACUGAUCUGAGUAUAUUGUAAUACAGGGGCAUGGCUCAGAUUCUUGGCUAAAUGCAAAAACAGUGUAUGGAGGCUCUCUCUCUCUCUCUCUCUCUCUCUCUCUCUCUCUCUCUCUCACGUGGUGUGCGUUUGGGUGAACGGGAGCUGAGCGUCUUUUGGAGAGCGUGGCUUUUCUUACCUUUUUUUUUUCCCCUUAAAUUAAUUUAUUUUUCCCCCCCCCGUUUUCUUUGUAGUUUAUGUUUGUUAUUUUUGUACCUAAAUAACGUUUAAACAACAUUUAACGCCGCAAUGGCGGCUGAUCCCGAGCAAGGGACGCCCUCACUGUCACUCAGAAACGGUUGCAGGUGUGUACCAGAGCCGGGGGUGACAGUGGAGGAGCUGCUUUUGAUCUUUGGAGAACAGGUAGGCUUUGAGAAUAUUCUCUCGGCCUCCCGCAUGAACAAAGCUGUUGUUGUAUUCCUUAAAUCGGAAUCUUUAGUUAAUCAGCUGAUUGUGAGUGGAAUAUGGGUGAAAGAAACGUUUGUAAGGGUAAACCCGCUGUCCACUCCUGCAACAAAAAUCACGAUCUCGAAUGUUCCGCCUUUUAUUUCAGAUGAAAUGAUUACGAAAGAGUUGCAAAGGUUUGGGAAAAUUGCAGGCCCCGUUAGAACGAUCCCCCUUGGGUGUAAGAAUGUCGCUUUAAAACAUGUUCUCUCGUUUAGACGUCAAGUUUACAUGUUUUUGAAUUCACCGGACCGUAUAUUAGACGCGUCUUUUCGCGUAAAUCAUGGGGAAAAUUCCUACAUGGUUUUCGCUAGUACUGAAAGCAUGAAGUGCUUUCAGUGCGGAAUUUUUGGGCACAAACGGUUUUUUUUGUCCAAAUAAGGAUGGAAAACAAACAACUGAUACAAAUACCGGGACAAAUGACACGGAAAUACAAACAGGAGAUAAACAGACACAGGGAGGUGGCGAGCAAAGGGAAGAAGAACAGCAAGAGGGGAUACUCAUUCUGAGGUCCUCAGAUUGAUCCAAGACCGGAGACGAGAUGAUCCCAAGGUUUCCAUAUCCUGGACCAGGCCGAAUCCUGAGCAGCUGCUGUAGUGGUCAUGGAGGAGUGGAGCGCAUGAGAUUUAUUCCUGUGACACCCCAGGGACAGACGAGUCUUUGCUGAGGCCCAGCCUCCAGCCUCCAGCCUCCACUGCUGAGACUGCAGCUCUGCACAAGACGUUUGGCCAGCGGAGAAAUUAAAAUGGUUGUGCCCAAAUGA